GGAAAUGCAAGUUAUUGUGGUUUUCUGAAUUUAGUACCUGAAUCUGACUCAUUGGGUUUGAUUGCUGCAGUAACAAAUAGAAACUCAGUGCUGGUUCCUUGAGUUCAAUUGUGGAUGAUGCUAAUUUUGUAAGAAGAGAUGCUAAUAUGGUUGCACACCAUUUCGCUAAGAUGGCUCUCCAGAGUGAUUCUGAGAUGAUUUGGG
rnacentral:misc_RNA from 1 species